AUGGAAACGGCUCCAACAGUCAUCGUCCAAAUCCUUCAGCGCGAGAGGAGCAGCACGCAUUGGAGGAUGAUGCGGCUAGGGAUGCGUGGGUGGCUGAUGACGGUGGCCACGCUUUUCGUCGGCUUCGCGUUCCAAGCCAUGAUGCACCCGCCUGAUUGGAUGACCAACUAUGAUCACUUUCUCGUCUUCAGUGCUGGACGUCGUACCACAUUUAUUUUCAUGGCAUCAAACGCGGCUACUUUUGGCACAGGACUGGUUCUAGUGGCAAAUCUGCUGCUGAUGAAAAAGGCCCCGUCUAAAGGUGAAGUGCUUGGCACAAGAAUCAUGGUGAUGGCUCUCGCCACUAGUGUGACAUGCACGUUCAUCUUUUCUAUCUCCAGAGAAGCAAAAGUUGUUUUAUGGCUCCUUGGUUAUCUCGUAGGAUACGCUGUUGUGGGCUUCCUCAUUCUCAAAAUCAUAACAUGGGGAAUGUACGGUGGAAGAAGGUCCAGGUAG
rnacentral:rRNA from 1 species